CCACCACUGAAGAGUCCCAAACUAGGACGAAACAGCUGUCCAGUAC
rnacentral:hammerhead_ribozyme from 1 species